UUCACCGAGGCGUCCUUGGUUGCGUGGUAAAUUGACUUCCGGUAGAAUUUGUUACUAUAUAAAGAAACUAUUCCCGAAGAUUUUUACCAUCAAAUCAUAAAUGGAAACUUAAUUGUCAUAUACGAUGUUACAGAGGUAAGUGUGCACAAAUCAAUUUGUGACUUAGAUCUAUGACUAUAAAGCUUUGUAACUGAUUUUCUUAGCCAAUAUAGAUAAUUAGCCAAGCCUGUAUUUCGUGUAUUCUUGUUUACGACAUUAAUUGUCUGCUAAUUGGUGCUGCCAGUUUGGAUUAUUUGUUUUUCUUUUUUUUUUCAUCACAUUUGAUAAUUAUUAUCAUUAUUUUUACAAUGUAUAUUUUAAAUGUGAUAAGCGAUUUACUGAAAGAGUCAAUACAUUUCUGAGAGUGUCAUUGAUUAAUUUUUUAUAUAAUGGGUGAUAUAGGCCUAAGUUAAGUCUGUGAAUGAGUCAGUCUAAAUAAAAUAACAACAUAGUGAGUCAAUAAGCCUACAAUCUUACAUCUUUACCAACUUUUGUUCAGAUCUACAAAUAUUUUUUUUAUUCAAUUUGAUUUUAAUUUCAAGAUAAUGUGCAUUUUUAUCUAUAGUAAUGGAAAAUCAACCAUAAAAAAAAAUCAACGAUGUAUGUAUGACUAACUGAAAAAUCUGCAUAAAAAUUUCGGCCUUCAAGUUUUUAGUGUUUUUUUUUUUAACUAACUAGAAUCCCAAAUAACAUCCAAUUCUUCUAAAAGCUAUAAAAAGAUCUGAUAUUGUUUCGAAUAUAUUCGCCCAAUAAAAUUUUAGAAUCAUUAGGCUCUACUUCACUAGAAAGUGAUUGUACACAUAAACAUGUAGACUUUCACCCAGAUGUAGUGACCUAUGGCUAUAAACUUUAUCUACAAAUACGAACUUACACACAACACACUACUACACUACUAUAUAUAUAUAUAUAUAUAUAUAUAUAUAUAUAUAUAUAUAUAUAUAUAUAUAUAAUAGAACACUAAACACUAUUUAUGUAAAUGCCCAUUUUUAAGUUUGUAAAAUAAUAAUUUGUUUUUAUAAAAAAUCUGGCUAUGCCUAUAGUACUCUUAACAAAAUUAUGACUAAAAAUAUUAUGAACGUCGAGUCUCUAGAUUCAUCAUCUUUGUGUGUCUGAUAAACCCAGAGAAUGAAGAUAUAGAAUCUAUAUAGGCCCCCUAUUAUAUAGAAUCUAGCUCUAGUUGACUCUAGACUAGAUCUAGGAUAAUUUCAAGUCUAGAUGUUCAGCUUCAUCUUACCUUGAUCAUGAUGCAGAUGAUUAAUUUUAAUCUGACUUCCUGACUUGUUAACUUAAACUUCGUCUUACUUAGCCCUUAGGCGCCUUAGCCUUAGCUUCUUCAUAUAAUCUAUAUGUGAAUCAUGAAUGGAAGUGCUUGGCUCACAGUGUCACAGAUCGUUCUUUAAACUAUUUGAAGAUCUACUUUAUCUUUACUAACGACUCUAAUCUAUAUCUAGUUUAUAUCUAUAUUUUAUAUGAUAAUAAUAGACCUGCCUAGACUCUUAUACUUAUAAUAAAGACAAAGUUAUAAGAUCUAGAAUCUGUAUCUAGAUCUAUUCCCUUUUGUGAUUUAUACACUGAUUAUACACUACAGAUUUAAUGUUUCUGAUGAGCAAUACUACUAUCUACAGCCAUGCCCAUUAACAUAGGCCCUACUCAUGUACUAGAUCUAGCUCUUUUGAUCACAACUCAUAUCUUGCCUAGAUAUAAACAACUGUACUAGAUUGGACUAGACAUUCUAAUCGGUUCUAUUUUCGUUUUUCAUUAUUCUCACAUAUUCUAGUAGGCAAUAGGUACCAAAUUGUGCUAUUUAUUCACUGUAGAUCUAAAUCUUAACUUUUCUCUUAACUACCAAAGAAGUACACAAAGGAUGUUGAAUGGUACCCAAAGGGCUCUAAUUGCUACCAUUAUCUUAUCUUCUUAUCUUAUAUAAUACAGACGUUACUUCAAAAAAGAAGAUGAUUACGUCCUACGCGUCAUGCAUUUAGUCAUGCAUAUUAACCAAUGACUUAAAUUCUGCCAAGUCACUGGUUUUCCUGGCUAGCUCAGGCAACCCAUUCCAUGCUCUAAUAGCACUAGGGAAGAAGGAACAUUUGUACAAAUUUGUCCUAGCAUAUGGGACGAGGAAUGUGCCUUUAUCUUUGUGUCUUUCAGAGUAUUUUAUUAAAUUUUGUUUUUGUAUUUGAAGAUUAUGGUUCAGUGUUUUAUGUAUGAUUGCUACUUUACUUUUGAGCCUUCUGUCCUGAAGGCUUUCUAAAUUUAGUGAUUUUACUAAAGGUGUUACUCUAGUCAAGUGUGAAUAUUCGUUUGUUAUGAAUCGCACUGCUCUAUUUUGUGUCUGUUCUAGUUUCUUAAUGUUUUCUUGAGUUGAGGGGUCCCAAACAGAGGAUGCAUAUUCUAUUAUUGGCCUAACCAAGGUUAAAUAACAUUUUAGUUUUAUGUUCUUAUUUGAUUUAUAGAAAUUUCUUUUAAUAAAUCCUAAUGCUUUGUUUGAUUUUUUUGUAGUUUCAUCAAUAUGUGGAUUCCAUGACAGUUUUUCAUUUAUUAUAACACCUAGGUAUUUUGCGUUUUUAGUCUGUGUUACUGGUUUGCCAUGAAUAAGAUAAGUGGAAUUAAUUUGUUUUAGUUUUUUUGUUACUCUUAACAACUGACAUUUUUCUGGGUGGAAAGACAUGCUCCAAUUUGAUUCCCAUUUCUGUAAUUCAUCUAAUUCUCUUUGUAAAAUAUCUGUGUCUUGUGUUGUUUUUAUUGUUCUAUAUAUUAUGCAAUCGUCUGCAAAUAAUCUGACUUUUGUUCCUGAAGUAAUGCAAUUUGGUAAAUCAUUUAUGUAAAUUAAAAAUAGUAGUGGACCCAAGACUGUUCCUUGAGGUACACCUGAGUUUACUGUUAUCGGUGUUGAUUUAGAGCCAUUUAUUAUUACAGUUUGUUCUCUCCCUAUCAGAAAGUCUUUAAUCCACUGAUGCAGUGGACCAUUAAUGCCGAAAUAUUUUAAUUUUUUAAGCAAACUAUGAUGGUGAACUUUGUCAAAAGCCUUAGAAAAAUCUAGUAAGAUAGCAUUCAAUGUGUGGAAUCAAGUAUUUACCCAGAUACUGCCACAAUAUGCUCUUAUUGUUUUCAAAGGAGUUUUCACACAGUGCCAGAAGCUGUAUAAAUACAUUUAACAAUGUAUAUUUCAAGAAGAAAUGAUGCUUUUUUAUUUCUAAGAGUUUAUCAAUAGGAUGAAUGCCACAAAACUCACUUGUUAUGCCAGAAACUCUUCCUACGAAACUUCCAUACUAGAAUUUGUCCAGUGCCUGUGUUGAAGUAGAAUGUGCUCCAUAAUACCUACUAGGAGCUUGCUGAUAGCUGGAAGUUCAUGAAUACUAUGUUGUCCUUGAUUUGAUGAUUCUGAAAACUACCAUUUCUGAAGACUUGAGCAUUAUUUCUAUAAGAAAGUGAAGAUAAUAUUGUUCUUACUAAUAUUAUUGACUUAUUAAAAUAGAAAGCACAUCAUUACCAAUAUUCACUUGUCAAUAAAUGUUAGCAUUAUUCAAUUUUUAGUUACAUGUUCAAACUAUUAAAUUUUAUUAUUUAAAUUAUAGCAACUUUCUCUUUCAGUCCAGCUUAAGAUACAUUCCUGUAAAAAGUCUAUAAUAAUAAGUUAAUGUCAAUGUAGUAUUGUUCAGACACAAGUUUAAUCAUCUAUACUUCACAAAAAAAAAGUGUUUGAAUGGUUUUCAUUUGUUUGUACAUCAAAUAUGUAUUAAUAUAAUUAUCAUUUUUAGAUGAAACAUUAAAUACUGAAGAUGACCAUUUCAAUUUCUGAUGUAGGCCUAUUCUCAUUUCAUGAAAUAAACAGAAUAUUAUCUGAAA